UACGGAAGGAGCAGUGGGGAAUAUUGCACAAUGGGCGAAAGCCUGAUGCAGCUAUGCCGCGUGUAUGAAGAAGGCCUUAGGGUUGUAAAGUACUUUCAUCGGGGAGGAAAAACAAAACUAAUAAUUUUAUUUCUUGACGUUACCCGAAAAAGAAGCACCGGCUAACUCCGUGCCAGCAGCCGCGGUAAUACGGAGGGUGCUAGCGUUAAUCAGAAUUACUGGGCGUAAAGAGCACGUAGGUGGUUUUUUUAAGUUCAGAUGUGAAAUCCCUGGGCUUAACCUAGGAACUGCAUUUUGAAACUGAAAUACUAGAGUAUCGUAGAGGGAGGUAGAAUUCUAGGUGUAGCGGUGAAAUGCGUAGAUAUCUGGAGGAAUACCUGUGGCGAAAGCGGCCUCCUAAACGAAUACUGACACUGAGGGUGCGAAAGCGUGGGGAGCAAACAGGGAUUAGAUACC
rnacentral:rRNA from 1 species